rnacentral:rRNA from 1 species
GAAUCGCUAGUAAUCGUAGAUCAGAAUGCUACGGUGAAUACGUUCCCGGGCCUUGUACACACCGCCCGUCACACCAUGGGAGUGGGUUGCAAAAGAAGUAGGUAGCUUAACCUUCGGGAGGGCGCUUACCACUUUGUGAUUCAUGACUGGGGUGAAGUCGUAACAAGGUAACCGUAGGGGAACCUGCGGUUGGAUCACCUCCUUACCUAAAAGAUACAACCCGCGUAGUGCUCACACAGAUUGUCUGAUAGAUGUAGAGAAGCAAGGCGUCUUGCGAUUGAGACUUCAGUGUCCCCUUCGUCUAGAGGCCCAGGACACCGCCCUUUCACGGCG